CAACUAAUUGGAAAAUGCGUGAUUCCUACCACUAUGACAAUAUCUGAAAGUAGAAUCCUCAGGGUUGCAAGCUAUUCUGACAAAAUUUCUGAACUCUAGCAGAAAAUGUAAAAAUAUACAUUUGACAAAAAUAUAUUUGCCCAUUUGAAUUUAAAUUUUGUCUUUUUUUUACUCAGUUUUUAUUUCUUAGAAAAAGGAAGACAAUCUAAAUAUAAUUCCCUGAGAUAUAGUUUCCUUUCACUUCAAAAUAACUGUACAUUAGGUUGAGAGACAAAAAAAUUCAUUGUCUACAAUUACACAUACUUUCUGAUUAAUCUGUUGGUUAGCCCACAUUUAGUUCAUCAGGCACAACUUAUUUUUCUGCAUGUGCAUUUGGGACAAUAACCGGGCAUAUGAAACCUUUAAAAUUUACAUUUAAAAAUUUAUAUUUGCACUUGGAUAACUUUGCCAAUAACUAGAACUCCCUCAAAAACAAAGGCUAGGUCCCUGACUCCUAUAGGCAUGACCAAGAGUAUACUACAAAAUGAUUCCUCUGAGACUGAAAUGUUUUUUUCCUGCUUCCCCCUCAGAGACACAUUGUGGAAAAAUUCUAGAACUUUUAGAAUAGACAUUGUGUGCUUGACUCCAGCGAUCAAAGAUUCUGAAAUAUUGAGGCCCUAUUUGAGAGUCAUACACUUAUACUAGUUUUAUUUGUUGUUGUUGUUUAUAAUCUGAAGAAAUGAACUUCAGCCAUCUAGAACAAAAAUAAUUGGAUUUGUUGGAGGGUUACGGACUGAGAAAAAGUUUGGUCAACCUUGUAGGGGAACCAGCCCGCUAUACCACCCGCGGGUUCUCCCCUUCCCAGUGGAGACGAGGGAAUGAGAAAAGAAAUAAAGACAAACACACAAAGUUCAAGAGUUAACAAAAGUGGGUCCAGGGGUCCAUCGCAAUGUGGAAACUGCGACAGCCCUGAGCUCUGGAUUCCACUGAUAUUUACUGAAUAAUCCUUAAAGUCCAACUAAUUGGUUAACAGAACAGGACGUGAAAGCAGACAGCCCGUCAGACCACAGGCCUGUGCAUCAAAGGAGCGGUCCACUCCAAGCACCAUCAGCAGGGCAGCAGAGCUCUCUGCCUCUGGGAACGAGCGAGAGAUAGAAGACUUUCCCCUUAUCCUCAGAGGACUUCUCCUCUUUUACAAGCAACCUCCUGCUGUUCCCUUCUGGGGAAUGGAGCAGGGGUCGCUUCCCUUCCCACAAGACCUUUGUUCAGGGACUCAAGUGGGAGGUUGAGCAAUAAGCAAGCUUUCUUGCUUAGAGGCUCCGCACACUUCCUGUGGUUGUUUGUUCCACCCUGCAGUUAGGCAAGCAAGCUCACCGCCUGAUUCUUAUAUUGUCGGACUAAGCAGAAGCUAUUCUUAUGAUUCAUGACUAUAUUAAUAAAGCACUAUUCUAAAGCA
rnacentral:lncRNA from 1 species